GGCAGACGAACGUGGAAAGCACAUUGAGGAGGAGAAGAUGGUGGCUUUGUCAGAUUGCUGCUGAAUUCAGUUGAAUCACUUCUGUCCCACUAAUUCAAACAUGUCAAAACUGGAUAGUUACUCCAGCAAGCUGGCCAGCAUCUCCCGUAGAGAAGGAGGAAUUGCAUAGAGGGCAUAAUAUUUGGAAAGUGAUGGCUACCAUUGAUGAG